rnacentral:rRNA from 1 species
UACGUAGGGGGCCAGCGUUAUCCGGAUUUACUGGGUGUAAAGGGUGCGUAGGUGGCAUGGUAAGUUAGAUGUGAAAACCCAAGGCUCAACUUUGGGACUGCAUCUAAAACUGCCAAGCUAGAGUGCAGGAGAGGAAAGCGGAAUUCCUAGUGUAGCGGUGAAAUGCGUAGAUAUGAGGAGGAACACCAGUAGCGAAGGCGGCUUUCUGGACUGUAACUGACGCUGAGGCGCGAAAGCGUGGGGAGCGAACAGG